rnacentral:misc_RNA from 1 species
GUUUAUUUCAAGAUCCAACAGAUGUUGUUAAUACACAAAUUCACUUUACAGCAGAGAGAUAUAAAAACCCUUUAUGUUUACAAGGCCUUCUCUAUUUCACAUAAAAGCAUAUCUAAUAUUAUUAGUACACCACUUUUAAAAUGAAAAAAACACGAGGAUUUCCAACAAUAAAUCUGGAUGGAACACAUAAUGACCAUGUAUAUAGUUCUGUAUAAGAAUCUUU